rnacentral:rRNA from 1 species
UACAGAGGUCUCAAGCGUUGUUCGGAUUCAUUGGGCGUAAAGGGCGUGUAGGCGGGUUAUUAAGUCAGAUGUGAAAUUCCAGGGCUCAACCCUGGCGCUGCAUCUGAAACUGAUGAUCUUGAGUACUGGAGAGGGAAGCGGAAUUCCUAGUGUAGCGGUGAAAUGCGUAGAUAUUAGGAGGAACACCAGUGGCGAAGGCGGCUUUCUGGACAGUAACUGACGCUGAGGCGCGAAAGCGUGGGGAGCGAACAGG